rnacentral:rRNA from 1 species
UACGUAGGUGGCAAGCGUUAUCCGGAUUUAUUGGGCGUAAAGGGAACGCAGGCGGUCUUUUAAGUCUGAUGUGAAAGCCUUCGGCUUAACCGGAGUAGUGCAUUGGAAACUGGGAGACUUGAGUGCAGAAGAGGAGAGUGGAACUCCAUGUGUAGCGGUGAAACGCGUAGAUAUAUGGGAGAACACCAGUGGCGAAAGCGGCUCUCUGGUCUGUAACUGACGCUGAGGUUCGAAAGCGUGGGUAGCAAACAGG